UACAGAGGGGGCAAGCGUUGUCCGGAAUUAUUGGGCGUAAAGAGCGCGUAGGCGGUCCGAUAAGUCGGCUGUGAAAGUCAGGGGCUCAACCCUUGAAAGCCGGCCGAUACUGUCGGACUAGAGUCCGGAAGAGGCAAGUGGAAUUCCCGGUGUAGCGGUGAAAUGCGCAGAUAUCGGGAGGAACACCAAUGGCGAAGGCAGCUUGCUGGGACGGUACUGACGCUGAGGCGCGAAAGCGUGGGGAGCAAACAGG
rnacentral:rRNA from 1 species